rnacentral:rRNA from 1 species
GGCGGUGAUCCUAAUACAUGCAGGUCGAUCGCGCGCGAGAGGUGCUUGCCCUUUAAGGAGUGGCAGACGGGUGAGUAACACGUGGAUAACCUGCCUCAAGGCUGGGGAUAACAUUUGGAAACAGAUGCUAAUACCGGGUAAAACUUAGUAUCGCAUAUAUCAAGUAAAAGGCGCUACGGCGUCACUAGAGAUGGAUCCGCGGUGCAUUAGUUAUUGGUGGGGUAAAGGCUUACCAAGACGAUGAUGCAUAGCGAGUUGAUAGACUGAUCGGCCACAUUGGGACUGAGACACGGCCCAAACUCCUACGGGAGGCUGCAGUAGGGAAUCUUCCCAAUGGGCGCAAGCCUGAUGGAGCAACGACGCGUGUGUGAUGAAGGCUUUCGGGUAGUAAAGCACUGUUUAUGGGAAGAAUGCUAAAAUAGGGAAUGAUUUGAGUUUGACGGUACCAUACCAGAAAGGGACGGCUAAUACGUGCCAGCAGCCGCGGUAAUACGUAUGUCCCGAGCGUUAUCCGGAUUUAUUGGGCGUAAAGCGAGCGCAGACGGUUGAUUAAGUCUGAUGUGAAAGCCGGAGCUCAACUCCGGAAUGGCAUUGGAAACUGGUUAACUUGAUUGUUGUAGAGGUAAGUGGAACUCCAUGUGUAGGUGUAAGUGAUAUGACUGAUGGCACGACUAAAGUAAG